CGGAAUAGAAGUUUUUGACCAAGCAGACGAUUGCAAAGACAUUUGCUGCUGACUUGGUGCCGGACAUGGGCUUGAGAGACGAGAUGUUAGUCUUCAUACUGCCGAAGUGAUCAACGUGUGGCUUACUGCUGGUUGAGAAAGGCGAAACAGUUCAUGGAUUAUCUCAGCCUAUAAG